rnacentral:sRNA from 1 species
UACCGCGGCCCUCCUUGGGCGUUUCCUCCCUAGACUUGGGCCGUCCGACAGGGCGGCCCAUUUUUCUUUCCGCU